rnacentral:lncRNA from 1 species
NNNUGAUGCUUCUCUGGAAACACCAUGUAAAAAAGUAGAGAUUUAAAAAGAUUUCAUGUCGGUCCAAUGAAUGAUUUAAUCACAGCUAAGGUUUAUUUCCCCAUAGGUUAUCCUCAAAAAAAGAGCUUGAAAAAUAGUGAAUUUGUAUCAAGUUCAAAUAAACAAGAAGAACAUUUUUCUAAACUAUUUGAUGAAAUUCUACAGCAAGUGUUCUACAAGGCUCCGUAUGGGACACCAUUUGAUGAAGCCAGAACAGCAGGCAAAUCAAUUACGAAGAGAGACAUGAAUUCAGAAAGCAAGUAUAUGUCUUUUAAACUAUUGGUGCAUGUAUUCCUAUAGGUCUCUGUAUGUGAUAUAUACAGUGCUAUCAUUUUAGCAUUUGUUAAAACAGCUCCAUGUGUGGCAAAGACAAAUCAAGAAAGGCAGGAAAGAAUUGUCUGAAAACCUCUCUAUAACCUUCAAAUCUAUGGUCUCAGAUGUGCCUAUCCUUCUAUUUUGUGGGGGAUCCUUGGAGUUCAUGUAUAAAGCAGGUUCUCACUUUCUGGAGGCUGUUCAGAAGAUAGGAACUGGAAUUACAACAGGAGCCCUGAGUAACGUCAUAACUUUGUCCUGCACACACUUUAUGUACACCCCCCCUUGCAUACUUUGAUACUUUGCUUAGCCCCUGGGGAGAGCUGGUGCAGUCAUUAGUCCCCGCAUUCAAUGGUAAGACUCAGGCCGGAAAAAAUCACUUGACCUAGAGCACGCCAGGAGAAAUAACAAAAAAGAAAAAUACUCUUCCCCAAAGCAGCUUCAGAUUAUUAUUAUUUUUUUAAGUAGUAGUUUGAGAAUUAAGACAGUUGUUUGAUCAUAGGUUGUAAGGAUAGAAUUAUGUAUCAGAAACUCCCAGCAGUACAGGGAAGUGCCCCGGGCAGCCGAGAAAUGGGCACUGUGUUGGAAUUUUGCAUACAGAUGUGAAUUUCAAUUCCUGAGGUUUGUUUCCCACAGACUCUGCGCGGGCACCAACCUCUCCAGUCAGCAGCUAGCCGAUGCCUUGCUCUACAUUGACAUGUAAACUUUCAAAUAUACAUUCCAAAUACAAGUGGAAUUCUAUGUCAGCAUUUCAACACUUAAAACAAAAUAUGGACCCAAAGUGCUCACUCAAAAGUGUGUACGUGUGUACUGAUACAAAUUUUUCUCUUUCAUCUCCCCACCCCCCACCAUAGUUUUCAUCAAAGGACCCAAUGUUGCUGGGUAUUCUACUGCACCAAGGUUUCUCUUUGGCAGCGUGGACAGAAUUUCUACUAAUGGUAAAUGCAAAUGGACGUACUCGGAGUUGGGGGCCAAUAAGUAAUACCUCAUCUUCUUGUACCUGAGUUUGGAAGCAAAUGUGACACUGAGCUAAGGAUCCUAUAGAUGAAGCUCAGACUAUCUUCUCUAGAAAAUUUGGCUGGGUAACGUGGG